CCUUUGUUGUCCGACUCUGUUGCCUCCGGGGCGACCCUGCCUUCGGGCGGGGGCUCCGGGUGGACACUUCAAACUCUUGCGUAA
rnacentral:rRNA from 1 species